rnacentral:lncRNA from 1 species
CUAAUGGGUGUCUUGUUGUGAACUUUCCUGGUAUGCUGGUGUUUGGUGAUGAAAAUAGCAGCAUUUUGGCUGAUCCGGCGGAAGUUGAAAUCGUUUCUUUUAAUGCUUGCCCUGGUAUUGUAAAGAAGUAUCAACACCUUGCUGGACAGUUUGUAAGGCUGAAGCCUGGUAUUUUCAGUCCGCGCUUUGAUUGGCCCCGAAAGAGAGGUGGUGACUGGGCAACAGGUAGAAUUUGUCAGGUGCUACCUAAUGGGUGUCUUGUUGUGAACUUUCCUGGUAUGCUGGUGUUUGGUGAUGAAACUUGCAGCUUUUUGGCUGAUCCAGCGGAAGUUGAAAUCGUUUCUUUUAACGCUUGCGCUGGUAUUGUGAAGAAGUAUCAACACCUUGAGGACUUCCACUGGGCUGUUAGACCACUGUUGGUUGCAUUAGGCCUAUUUACUGCAAUGAAGCUUGGCAUUUUUGUCGGGAAGAAAGUCGGGAGAUCGAAGGUGAAGAAGAGGCGCAACCUGGUGAUGUCCAU